GUUGUUACAGACUAUCAGGGAUAUUGCUACUGAGGAGAAAACCUCAAUUAAAAAUCAGCAUUUAAUAUACCAUACAUAUGUAGUAUUUUAAUUACAAAAAUUUUACAUUUCCAUUGUUUCAGAUUUAUCAUAAGGAGUAAAAAAUAAAACAUUUUUAAUAUGAAGGUGUUGUAUUUUUUAUGUAUGUUCCCCCUUUUAAUGAAAUAAAUAAAUUAAAAAGGUUUUAACAUAUCAUGUACCUUGUACACAAUGAAUAUAUAUCACACAUCCAUAUAACAUAUUGUUAUUACAUUUAUUUAAUGUUAGAUAUACUAAAUGUACUAUGUAACAAAUAUGUUAUAUAGCUAGAAUAAUUCGUUUGCAAAUACUAUACUAAAAAUGAUUUUUAAAUAUAACGUAACUAUUUAUUUUCAUUCAUAUAAAUCUAUCCUUACUUUAGAUUUGACAUGUCUUAAAGGAAGCUGGAUCUAAUUUUGAUAAAGGUCUCAUUUAUUUAAAAUUUUUUUUAUUUUCUAAUUUGUUAAUUUACAUUUUUCAAUUCUAAAACGAUCAAGACAUGUGAUAUGAUAAACAUUAUCAGCAGUGAUUAAUAAUAUUAAUAAUUACUUUUAUUAAACAUUAAUAAUAUUUACUCUUUAUAUUUAUUUACAGUUGUUAAAACAACAAUUUUCUUACAAGAUAUUAAUGAGUUUAGCGAUGUAAAUGAAGUCUACAAAGAAUUUUUUAAGGAGAACUGUCCAGCUAGAUGUACAUUCCAAGUUGGAAAGUUACCAAUGGGAGCAAAAUUUGGAAUUGAAGCUAUUGCUGUUGUUGGUGAGGUAGAAACAAUUUGAAUAUUAUAAGCAACAUUAA